UACGUCCGCUGCGUGAUCCUGUGGGACAUGACCAAUCCACUGCCUCAUCAACACAUCGAGGUAACAAAUCCCCUCCUAAUACAGGUGCUUUGGUCAGCUGCUGGCUCUACCACAUAGCCUUCCGUCCACAAUGAGCAGGAGUUCAUAUUAGAAUAUGACCAUCUCUUUCUUAAUGAUGUGUGCCUUGUAUUUCCAUUUUGCUUUCUAAAAAUAUCGAUUCAGGGAGCAAAAGGAAAGCAUGAUAAUUAUUAUUUUUGACUUUACAUUACAUAUCUCCAAGGUCCUAUUUUUUGCUUGGUACGGGUAGUCAUUAUGCUUGGGCUCAUGACCUUGAUUAAUCUAUAGCAUGGUUUUGGGUGACCUAUUUAACAUAAUAGUGAUAUAUGUUUGCAUUUCUUGAACUGUCAGUAGGAACCUAUAUACCGCAAAAUAUUUGUUAUGUCCCCUACGGAAGGUUUUAGACAGUCAAUUGAUUUUGUCCCAUCCGACUAUCAUGCAGUCUGACUUCAGAUGACUAUGUUUUUCAGGGUGAAUUGAGUUCAGAUCUUUGAGCAAAGGAUUGCGAUUUUGUAGCUGCAUUGGGGCUAUUCUUUAUCAUUUGGUAUGUCGUUACUUCCUAGCUACUUGAAUUUCUCUAUUCCCAAUUCACGGGAUUUCUACUUUUUGACAUUUCCCUAAAUGAUUAUACACAACGCUGAUAAUGCAUGCCACCCAGUUUUCGUUCUCUAUAAGAACUGAGAAGUACAUAUGCACUUUUACGACAUAUAGGUUCAUAUGGCAGCCUUGCGAUGGGUUAGGCCCGGGUCGUCGUCGUAGAAAUACAACUGUAGAUGCUCUGGACGGGAUGUUGGCCCGAAGGAAUGAACGUUGUGGUAGAUGGUGCCGUGCGCCCGAAACGUGUACACCCCAGACUUCAUGUUUGUGUAGCUUUCAUCGAGGCUGACGCCGAGGGUUGUGAAGGAGAAGUGGCCGUUGAAGAACCGUAUGUUCUCCCGAAAAUGCCUUGAGUCUGCAUCCGUGCUAGACCAAAGCCUCAUUAGCUCCGGGAUGGGCUCCGGUUGCUUCAGCUCGAUCUGUCCACUGCGACAGCAGAAUCCCGGGGCCUCGGACUCAAACUUCUUGGCCUUGCAGUGAUCGCAGUUCGCGGCGUGCUUCAGGAUGUGUGUGUGGUCUGGGAGGUUUGAGUAGACAUAGUCCAAUGGAUCAUGGUCGACAUAUGUAUUGUGAUGGUCAUCUUUCAAUUCGUCGUGCUCCAUGUCAUCAGCAUCUGAGCCUGCAAACAAUGUUUAUAAUUAGUGUGAUAUUCCCAACGGGUGGAUGUUGCUCAAGUGGGUGUACGUACCUUCACCAGCAAAUAGGUAAUACUCGUCGUCAAAGAGGUUGUCAGGGUUGACAUUAUCAUUCAUGAGACAACUAAGGUAAGCGUCCAUGUCGUCUGCUCAGGUGCGAAACCAAUAAAUGAAGGUUCAGACUCAAGGGACGCAAGGAGAGUAAGGAUUGGAGUGUUACCUUCACUUCUGAUCGUGUACUCCGGCGUGCUAGAUGAGGUUGAGGCACCGUGUGCUUCAACUAUGGUAGGUUGUCCAGUUGAGCUCAUUUCCGGUAUGGAGAUGGACCUGACGCUUGGUGUCUUCACCCUACCUGCAAAGCUUUCAUUACGACGAUCUAGCAGAGCGUUCCUCUCACCAUGUGGCACCUUCGUACAUGAUUUCCGCUUGCCAAUUUUCUCAUGAUGCUUCUUCGCCGCCAUACUUCCCUUGCAAGAUCGCUCUCUCGUCCUACGCUUUGCUCUGGACUCAUGCCUCUGCUCGUCAGCUCCAUUAUCCGCUAUUGUUAGCCGAUCACUGGUUUGCUGGUCGGCACUUGUUAGGUGCUCAUUGAUUGUUAUGAGGUUGCCAUCUACAGCACCAUCACCUAAGGUUCUGCUUAGAUAGGCACCUGCAAGAUUUUCGAAUCAUUAUAAAAAUCUGAUAAAUGAUUACAAAAUGAAAGAUGACCGUUGAUGGGAUAACUACCAUCGGUUUCGAUGUUGCGAAUGUACGUGGGGCCACGAGUUGCUGACGCAUUUUCGGCGGACAACGAAUCUGCAAAGGUUGCAGGUGUGGUGAUGCACUCAAAUUCAACCUGGGCGGAUAUAAGAAGUGAAGUGAACUAUAGAUGGAGUGAAUUACCAUUAGAUUUGAAGGAGUGUCCUGCCAUGUUCGUUGACACAGGUGAUGCACCACUGUGCAAAGACUGAUUGGUCGCAGAUGUAGUAGGUAAAUCUGGACGUCGCAUUGCAAUGGAUUCAGGGCACGGGGUGUUUUUCCUAGACAUGUAUCUUGUCUUUGUUUCAGCACUCAUAUCCGCUCUCUCCUCGGCAGUUAAGCUAUCUCGUCUUUGCUUGCGUUGUUCCCGUGUCUUCCGAUUUUGUUCUUCUAGGAAUUUGGGUCCCAACUCCUUUUUCCUGUGAUAAGUUUCUCGUCUCCGUGCAUUUAUCUGCUCUCUUUGUUCGCUGGUCAAUUUCUCUCUGCGCUCUCUAUCGUAUGCCCUUUUGCGCUCUCUAUCGUGUGCCCUCUUAGCUUGUCUACUGUCAGUAAUGACAAUAGAUUUUGCUGUUGUAUCUCCAUCUACACCAUCAACAUUAGAUCACACAAUGCAAAAUUCUGCAUGUAGAACAUCAAUAUGAAAGACAUAGCUGGCCCAUACCGUUAGAACUCUCUGCUAGAUCUGCACCAUUAGCAGCUGUGAUAGCACUAUAUGUAGGUAAUGAAGCAUCAUGAUCUGAGAUGGCUGGUUCAUCUACAACUAAAAAAGGGAAUCAAAACAAGGCAAGUAUGGAGCUUCCUUAAUGUAGAACACAGACCAGAUCUGCAAUUCAUACUGUGUAUUUGCAUGGUAAGUAUGGAACCGUACCUCCACUCAUCUGGGUCAGCGGAUCAACAUCGAGGACAUGACCAGGAGGGGGUGGGUGGGUGUUUGUCUGUCCACGCAACAUCGUUUCCAUGCGGGGUCCAUUGGGCUCGGUGAGCAAGCCUGUGCAGAUACGAAAAGCAAAUACACAUGUUUGAUCAAAUAAAAAACGGAACACAUACGAUAAGGUGGUGAUUCGCAAGGCACAUAUGAUACGAGGUAACAUACAUGGACCCAUUUGGGAAUGCAUGUCAACAUUAGAGACAUCACCAAGAGUGUGUUGUUGCAAAUUUGUUGCAUUCCCCGGUGCGGGUGUGAUGUUUUUUGAAUUCUCAUUGCGAGGUCCUUCUGAUUUGCUGCUUGUUGCGACCACUGUUUGAAAGCAAAUACAUGUUCAAUCAAAUUAAGAACAUAACCAAAACAAGGCAAGCCUAUAUAUACAUGAUAAGGUGGUGAAUCGCAAGGCACAUAUGAUAAAGAGCUCUGUACCUGUGACCCUUUGGGAAUGCAUGUCAACGUUAGAGAUAUCACCAAGAGGGUGUCGUUGCAAAUUAGUUGCAUUCCUUAGUGCGGGUGUGAUUUUUUUUUUGGAUUUACAUUGCGAGAUCCUUUUGAUUUGGUGCUUCCUGAGACCACUGCUUGGAAGCAAAUACACAUGUUUGAUCAAAUUAAAAAUGGAACGAAAACAAGGCAAGGACACACAUGAUAAGGUGGUGAAUCACCCGACACAUAUGAUACGGAGUAACAUACCUGAGACACAUUUGGAAUGCACGCCAACGUUAGAGAUAUCACCAAGAGGGGGUCGUUGCAAUUUGGUUGCAUUCCCCACUGUGGUUGUGAUGCUUUUUGAAUUUACAUUGUUAGGUCCUUCUGAUUUGCCACUUGUUGCGAGCACUGUUUGGUAGAAAAAUACACAUACUUGAUGAAAUAAAGAAUGGAAGCAAAACAAAGCAAGAUUGGACGCCAUUCAAACAUACACAAGUUGUAUUUUUAAUUGAGGUGUAGCCAUACCUCCACUAAUCGCGUCAAGAUGAUCAACUUUCGAGACAUGAACUUCAGGGUGUGGGUGGGUUUCAAGGAAAUUUCCUAAGUGAGGUUCCUUUGUUCCUUUGUGGUUGCCUACGUGUUUCCAUGAAAAGGACUUGAUUAAUUUCGAGAAUCGUAAGACACAUAUAAUACACUUGAACAUUCCUGUAAGGUUUUGGGAAAGUAUGUCAAAGUUAGAUUUGUCACGAAGAAGGCUGGGAUGUCCAUCUGUGAUGCUUUUAGAAGAAAAUACGAACGCUUGAUGACACAUGUACAUUAGAUAGUUAUAACAUGGAUCACCAUAAGACCAUGUACCUGGAGUCUCUGUGUCAUCACGAAGAGCGGUUCUGGUGAGGCUUGUCGCGUCCAUGUCCUCUGUAGCAUACAGAGAUAUACAAAUUAUAACAUAUUUUGUUAAUCCGCCAUUGACUACAAAAAUGAAAUAUGUACAUGUACCUGCACUGUUUUGUCUAUCUGUAUGCACAUCCAGAGAUUGUUGAGGCACGCUUGUCGCCUCACCCUGUUUGUUUCUCUUACUACUUGCAUUUCCCAUUUAUACCUGAAAGAAGUUAAACUGUUUACAUUCAAACAAGUGGAGAUGAUCUGUACUGGAGAUGCUCGGGACGUUUCUCUCUGGUUGGUACCAAGUUCCUGAACCAAAAUGGCCAAGAUAAAUUGAUGUUGGAGCACAUACACGGUGGUAUAAUCUAGAUAGACUAUCAUUCCUAACCAUGUGAAACUUACAUGUAUAAGCUUGUUAGCACCAAAUGUUUCUAGAGCAUUUUUCAUUUAGCAAAAUAUAACAAAAUAUGUAUGCAGAACUCAUUGGUGCAUCACAACUUUCGCGAGCACUGGCUGACAAAUCGCUCGAGCAGGGAGUACUCCUCGGAAUAGUGAGAGCUAAGAAACAAGGGCUCCAUCGAUGCAUUAGUUCCUGGAGGAUCAGUUCCUGGAGCAUUUGUAAUCUCUACUCCUAGGAAUAGGGAUAGCUAAGAAACAAGGGCUCAACCAUCAGUUGGUGGAUCAUCAGUUCCUGGAGCAUUUGUAAUAUGUGCAUGCAUUGGUAAUGGAUUUGUUUGUAAUCAGUGUAAUCUGUGCAUACAUUCACGUUCUUGUGUAUUCACCUGGAGCAUUUGUAAUCUGUGC
rnacentral:lncRNA from 1 species